GAUGAACGCUGGCGGCGUGCUUAACACAUGCAAGUCGAACGCAGCAUUUAAAACAGCUUGUUUCGGUCUGAAGUUUUUUAUGACUGAGUGGCGGACGGGUGAGUAACGCGUGGGUAACCUGCCUUGUACUGGGGGCUAGCAGCUGGAAAUGGCUGGUAAUACCGCAUAAGGGCACGGUGCUGCAUGGCACAGUGGGACAAACUACGGUGGUAUAAGAUGGACCCGCGUCUGAUUAGCUAGUUGGUGAGAUAACAGCCCACCAAGGCGACGAUCAGGAGCCGACCUGAGAGGGUGACCGGCCACAUUGGGACUGAGACACGGCCCAGACUCCUACGGGAGGCAGAAGUGGGGAAUAUUGCACAAUGGAGGAAACUCUGAUGCAGCGACGCCGCGUGAGUGAAGAAGUAAUUCGUUAUGUAAAGCUCUAUCAGCAGGGAAGAUAGUGACGGUACCUGACUAAGAAGCUCCGGCUAAAUACGUGCCAGCCGCCGCCGUAACAC
rnacentral:rRNA from 1 species